rnacentral:Y_RNA from 1 species
GACUGGUCUGAAAUUAGUGAGUUGUCUCAGUUGAUUAUUCACAGUCAGUUCAGAUCGGACUUCUUGUUCUACUCUUUCCCCCCCUCACUACCUCACUUGACUAGUCUUAA